rnacentral:rRNA from 1 species
AUGGCUCAGGAUGAACGCUAGCUACAGGCUUAACACAUGCAAGUCGAGGGGCAGCAUUGGAGUAGCAAUACUCAGAUGGCGACCGGCGCACGGGUGAGUAACACGUAUCCAACCUGCCGCUUACUCGGGGAUAGCCUUUCGAAAGAAAGAUUAAUACCCGAUGGUAUAAAGAGUUCGCAUGUUCUCUUUAUUAAAGAAUUUCGGUAAGCGAUGGGGAUGCGUUCCAUUAGAUAGUUGGCGGGUAACGGCCCACCAAGUCUACGAUGGAUAGGGGUUCUGAGAGGAAGGUCCCCCACAUUGGAACUGAGACACGGUCCAAACUCCUACGGGAGGCAGCAGUGAGGAAUAUUGGUCAAUGGACGAGAGUCUGAACCAGCCAAAAGUAGCGUGAAGGAUGACUGCCCUAUGGGUUGUAAACUUCUUUUAUAAGGGAAUAAAGUGAGGGACGUGUCCCUUUUUGUAUGUACCUUAUGAAUAAGGAUCGGCUAACUCCGUGCCAGCCGCCGC